AUUGAACGCUGGCGGCAUGCCUAACACAUGCAAGUCGAACGGUAACGCGAGGAGCUUGCUCCUUGGCGACGAGUGGCGGACGGGUGAGUAAUACUUGGGAAUCUGCCCAGUAGUGGGGGACAACAUUCGGAAACGGAUGCUAAUACCGCAUACGCACUACGGUGGAAAGUGGGGGACCUUCGGGCCUCACGCUAUUGGAUGAGCCCAAGUCGGAUUAGCUUGUUGGUGAGGUAAUGGCUCACCAAGGCGACGAUCCGUAGCUGGUCUGAGAGGACGAUCAGCCACACUGGGACUGAGACACGGCCCAGACUCCUACGGGAGGCAGCAGUGGGGAAUAUUGGACAAUGGGCGCAAGCCUGAUCCAGCAAUGCCGCGUGUGUGAAGAAGGCCUGCGGGUUGUAAAGCACUUUCAGUAGAGAAGAAAAGCUUACGGUUAAUACCCGUGAGUCUUGACGUAACCUACAGAAGAAGCACCGGCUAACUCCGUGCCAGCAGCCGCGGUAAUACGGAGGGUGCGAGCGUUAAUCGGAAUUACUGGG
rnacentral:rRNA from 1 species